CCAAUUCUUAUGAUCAAAUUUUAACACAUGGUGAUGGCAGACCUAUGCUUGUUCACACAUUCAAGCUAAAUAGGUUUUUGUGAUAGAAGGCAUAUUAGAAAUAUCAAAUCUAUUAUUUAGUCCUCGCUAGCCUGAACUCUUAGGUUAUUUUUAAUGCAUCAUAUAAAUUAUAAAUCCAAGAAAUGUUGUGUGUUUAUUGAUGAAAUUCAAUUAAAGCUAAUGAAUGGUUAUGGAACCUAAUUACAUGGAUCCAGCAGAAUGUAGCUUUUUCAGGUUGUCAUGUAAAACAAGUUUUAAGAAGACAAGGUCUAGGAUCUGCUUGCAUUAUGCUGCACAGUUGCACCAGCUAUUUAUCUUGCAAAGUUGGAUUUAUGUAGUUGUCACCAACUAGUUUGGGUUAAGGUUUAAUUAACUUGGAUUUAGACUUAAAGUAGCUUUUGAUGAAACAUAUAAAUUUGAAAAUGUGAAGCACUUCACUUUGAAAGCUGUAUUCCAGAUACCAGGCUAUCUGAUAAAAGUUCAUUUACCUGAUUAAAAUGAUGUUGUUGUGAUAUGAUAUGCUGAAUCACACUUCCGAGUUCCGAUUUUGUUUAUUCCUUCAUUGAUUUGGGGUUUAAUAUCUUGUGUGCUUAG
rnacentral:misc_RNA from 1 species